CUUGCCCCCUCCCUCUGAACUCUGAUGGGAUGAAGAACUUGGUUCUCUGAACUGAGUUUGCAGCCUGCAUUUGCUGACAGGAAGAGGAACCAUGUACAGAGACUUUUGUUUUUAGUGGCUGUGCUAGUGAGUUUCCCUCAACUGCAGCUCUAUUCCUAUGGUCUGUUAUAAAUCCAAUCUGUAAAUCCUCUAACCUCUCACCACCUGAAUGCUCAAAACAGUAGAGAUCCACUGAGCACCCACUUCAGCAGUGCUGUAUUGGGAAGGUCUGUACUAUGCUUUGAAAUCCAGGUCAUUAUUUUUACCUCUGCAAAUUCUUACAAACAAAGGUAUCCCCGUGGGGGAGAUGCAGACAGCUUCUGUGAUUGAUCUGGUCUGUUGUCUUUCUCAAUCAGGCUACAGGGAAGAGUGAAAUAGAAAUAUCCUGGUCUACCUCCCUUCAUCUAUUAUUAUAUCUUAGUAUAUCUUUGAACAGUACAUGGGUUUAAAAUAUACAUAUUGAUUAUUUCACUAGCAGACAUCAUUUGCUAAUUUGAACUGGAAGAAGUUGCUUGUUCAGCAUAGUGCAGCAGCUAAUUUUCAAUCCAUAGUUGUCUUGAUUGUAUGUGUUUGGGUGUGGCCAUCCCUCCCUUUUAGAAAGAAAAAAAGUACCUCAAGAAUGGCUUGAGGUUGCAGAGAAGAAAGACUAGGGUAUACACUCAUUGCUCAAGGUCUAUCCAGAUUCACAGACCAUGUUAGUCUGUUAGGAAUUCCUUCUAUACUUGCACCAUUUUGUUUCUCCCCACAGGCUUCUGUUUUAGGAAUUCUGUUUUGUUUUGCUGGAAACAGUGGCUUAUUAUAGAGAUUAUGAACUCACUGUGUAACCCAGGUUAGCCUCAAAGUCCACAGCUUCCCAAGUAUUAAGGUUGCAGGCAUGUACACUUGCUUUAUAUUUUUUCAGUGGUAUCAGUACCCCUUGCUUUGCAAUGGGGUUGUAAAUGGACAAAGAGGCAAAGGAUGUCAGAGUUGAGAAGUGGUGUGGAUCUCAGCCAGAUCUUCUGAUAUCCAAUUACAGAUCUCUGUCCACUCUCCAUUUGCCCCCUUAACAGUUUAGUGCUUGAGGCUAGGGCAACAGACACAGAACUGUCCCCAAGCCUGGCGCCCAUUAUUCUUGCCCUCUAAUUUCCGAAGGCACGUCAGUCAAGAUCCUAGCCUCUGGGUUUGCCAAUGUCUGUGCCUCUGUUUCACCAGUCAUGUGGCCUUAGAUCAGUUGACAAAUGAACCUUUCCAUUCUUGUGAUUCCCACUGCCCCCCCUUUCCCAUGGACCUCUUCUUCUUUCCCUCUAAAGAUCACCAGUCAAUGAUUUACAGAACACCAUUGCUUUGUCCUUUGGGGGAGAUUUCAUCCUCAUGAAUUACACUGGAAGUUUGGCAAAACCAUUGAGAAACAACAUAUCUAAAAAUAGGGUAGAUGCAUCAAUUGGGAAGUAGAGAGUUUCUAGCCUCAAAAAUAGUCCUUUUUGCUCAGUGUCAGAGUAUGUUCUUUGCAGUGUCUGUGAGCAAUCUCAGCUCUUCAUUCUUGCCCCCCAGCCAAGAGCUGGAUGGAAAUGUUACCAUCCCAUGAUCAAGGUUCAGAAUCCAAGGCAAGUACCUUGGGGCUAAAACCUAGGAGCGGAGGGAUGCUCAAUUCCAGGCAUGCCAGAUAUAAGACCAGAAGCAGCACAGACUGGAGGUUCCAGGAAUUUCUCCAGACAUUCUGGGACUUGCAUGAAUAGCUGGCAGUUGCAGACAGGAAUUCUCUAUGGGAGAAUUACUCGUGCCACCCCAGGGAGAGCACCAACAGAUCUGAGACUGCACUCUUAGAGUGCACUCUUGCCUGAGACCUUGAGCAAACUACAAUAAAUGUUUUGGUGGCUUCAAUAUUGGAUGACAGUGUCACUGAGCUGUUUUGUCAACACCACAUCUACUUUCUUAGGCUACAGGUACUGCUUCUUGCUUCCUCAUGAGCCUCAGCAUCCUUGGGAUGCUUUAGAAUGCAUGGCCCAGGGCUUUCAGAAUAAAUUGCAGCCCUCCCCUAAGUAGGAACAAGAUCCAAGACCUUUUUGCUGUUCAAAAGUCUCAUUUGGAUAAGAGUGCUUAAUGUUUGCGAGCCAACAAGCACCAUGGAGCCUAACAGAGGAUGUCUGAGAGGACCAGAGUAGCUCUGGGUGUAAAGGACCUUGGUGUGUGUGUGAGAGAGAGAGGGAGGGGGAGACAGACAGACAGACAGAGACAGAGACAGACAGAUAGAGGGGAAGGUAGAAAGCAGGGGGGCUCAGAAGGGCACUUAUUGAAAUUCUAAGGGUUCAUUCUGAAUACUGACAUGUUAGAAAAUUCUUAUGGCAGGUAAGGAAAAAUGACCUGGAUAAUUCCUUUGGCUGUGAUCAGGAUAAGCAUCAUAGCAGCCUAUGUAAGGUCACAUUUACACAGAAUCUGUGUAAAGAACCCACAGUUCUCAGGCUUGGGAAGAUGGUUCAGUAGCUUAAGACUUUGCCUGACAAACAUGAAGACCUGAAUUCAAAUCCCAGAGCCCAUAAAUAUCGGAGAGAGGUAGCAUGUAUUUACAUAUAUAAGUGUUCUCUCAGCAAGAUAAGAGGAGGAAGAGAUAAGACAAGGCAAUCUCUAGACCUCAUGAAGCAACUAGCAGCCGUACAGCUGAACAAGCAAAAAGAUAUCAUUAGAAUCAAGGUAGAUGUCAAAGACUGACCUCCUCAGGAGAUUCUCUGAUCUCUCUAUACAUGUGCUGUGGCACAUGUUCACACACAAUUACUCACUUGCUUGUAUACACAGCCAUAUACUGAAAAUUAAAAAAGAAAAGAGCCUAUAGUCAUUGUAUUUCUAACCCCAAGUGGAACCAAAACAUGUCAUCUAGCCUCUGUGGCCUUUGGUUUCUUCUUCAUAUAGUACACAUAAAUAACUUUGAACUUCUGAGUUAUUUAUGAUAAACACACCAGGACCCCAAAUCAGGGUGGCUCUUGGCUUGGAAUUAUUCACACUUAAGAUUGUUUUUUGGAGUCUGAAUUUUUACCAUAGGUCUGUGACCCCACUACUCAUGAGACUAAAGUAAGAAGAUCAGAAUUCAAGGCCAGGUGAGGAGGUGAAGGGGAUGGAUGGAGAGUUAUAAUCCAGGAAACUAAAUAAAUCACAAGAAUCCUAAAAAGUACUUUCUCUUAAGUUAAAUUAAAUCUCACGUUCCCAAAUUGAUUUUAAAGCUUAAUUUGAUAUUUAAUGAUUUUUAGAUAAAUAUGUUUCAAAUACUAAGUCUGAAUACAAUAGAUUGCCACAAAGUGUCCCUUCUCCUGAGUCUAGACCAAGAACUGGGCAAUGGAAGAUUUAUUAGAAAAAUGGAUGCCUGAUAUUCUGUUCAUAAUACACAAGAGCAGCUUGUUUGGUUAAAUGAGGAAAGCUCUGGUACAUUAUGAGUGUUUCAAUCUGGAGCCUUUGUUCAUGUUUCCACUGCAAGUGUGGUACCUAUCAGAAGCAUCAUCUAUCUUUGUAUUUGAUGUUCUGUACGUUUUCAUGCGUAUGCUUAUUUCAAUCAAGUUUACCCUCUUAGGGUCUCUUUUUGUUACAGAGGUUAAUCUUUGAGAGUGUAUGAACCCAGUGGGAUUUGAAGACAUUGUGAUAGUGACUAAAUAAUGAGAAUAUGAAGUAGACUGCCUAUGUACCAAGUACUGAAUACCUAAGUGGCUAAAAGUCAUACAUGCUGUUACUAAAUUCAUGGGCACAAUGAACAGUUUUGUUGUUCUUGCAUGUUUUUGAGAAAAUGUAGAAGCAGACAUCAUACCAUUUUGCAGCUCCUAUUUGAGAUCAUUAGCCAACCAUCAGUUCAUGUCCUUAAUUUGUGGCAAUAGAUUCCUUAGGUUCAUAGUGAGUGUCUAUAAUAUCUGUGUUCUUUUUAUAUGAACAGAGGACAGAGGUACAGGAAUAGUUCACCCAAAUUUCUGACAUGCUAAAACUGGAUGGAACCAAUGGUUUACCUAAUCUAUUCUUCUCUCUGCAUAGAUUCUAACAUUAUCACAUAAAUGAUAGUAAAAACUCAGCUGCUUUCAGGCCUAGGCAUGCAAUAUACAUAUAUGGAAGAGACUGCUUUAUGAUGGAGACAAGAAUUACAGCAAAUAUUUAUAACUGAAUACUUUCCCAUUGAUACUGGAAUUGUCAAAUUUUUGGCCUGAUGCUUUGUAACCAUUUGAUAGGGCCUGUGUUUACAGUUAAGAGAAAUAGAUGAGUUGCUGGUCAACUAGUGACUGACAUUUUGAAUUAUAAACUGCCAUUUGGAUUGUUGACUCCACUUUGUAGAAUCAUUCAUUUUGGAUAGUUUGCUGCCAUUUUGCAUUGCCAGUUGUAAUUUUGAACUGUUGAUCUGUUACUUUAUCUUUUGAAUUAUUCUUAAGAGAAAGCAGUAAUUUAGUUCUCCUGUGUAUUCUUACUUCGUUAUCUAUUUGAACUUGACUAUAAAACCUUGUGGACUGGCAGGACCUUAAUGUACAUGUUUUGUCUGUGAACGUCCAGAGAAGGAAACUUAUCUGCCUGAAUCACAGAGCAAAUAUCACAGCAGAAAUCAGAGAGAAGUAGCCUAAAAUAUCCUGGCCCUACACUAUACCUGUCUUGGCACAGUCUUCUUGGCUCUGCCCAUCCCCCUUUUCUUCCUGUUUCCUGAACUCCACAGUUGAUUGGGGGUGCAUAUACCUGAUGUGACCUAAUAAACCGAUGUGAACAAAGCCCAGUGGUGCCACUUCUAACAGUAGUUAUACAGUAUAAUUUGGGCCUCCCUUUCUGUACAACAUGCCAUUUGAGCUCUUAGCUGUGUAGAUAUGCACUUUCUUGACACACAUGGUCACUGCAGAGUCAGAACACUAACAGGGGGCCUAGCUUUUGACCUUUGUAUCUGUGAGUCAUGUGAGGCUGCUAACUGCUAAAUCCUCAGAUGUUACCCUAUCUUGUCAAGCUAUGUCUGUCUUUGCAAAAGACCUGUAGGGGCACAACGAUGAACUCUAUUCAUGAGGGCAGAGAAAAGAGACCUCACACGACAGUUGGUAGGGCAUCUUGGAGGUCUCAAUGCCUCAUAAAGCCUCUGUCUUCAAGGCUCUAAACAGAAUGCUGUUCCCUGCUAGAUUAUGAGCUAUCCUUCUGACACUAGUAACAGAAGGUUCCAUCCUUGAGGACCUGGCUUUCAUGCAGUUUCAGUGCCCUUAAGAAGAAAGCUAAAUGGUCAUGUUCAUUUAAUAAUGGGGGGGGCAUCUAGGUUUUCCAACUGUGCAGUUUAAGCAAACCAGGUUACGAGGACUAGUGGAAACUGAAGGAUCAAGUAAGAAAGUCUUGUUUGGAGAGUAAAAAGAUCUUCAGCAUAUUACCUUUCAAUUUCCCUCAUAAGUUUCAGCAGUGAUAGAACAAAAGUUGGUGGUGGGAUCAGGAGGGAUCACAUGAUACCUUUUCUUGGUGCCAACCAUGGUAGAAGGAAAUCAUUGGAAACAAGAUUCAGCUUCAUAUAGCCCUUCAUUCUAGUGUAUGCCUGCUCUGGACACUCACCAUAAUGGGAGAUGGAAGGGGGUGUUGUUGGAAUUGCUGCUGUGUUCCUCCUUCAGCCUCGGUAUCAAUAACUGCAGUCUCUCUGUGGAUUCAUUGCCCCGAUACUGGAGCUGAGCCCUUGGAAGGACACUGUAGACUUGAGGUGAAGUUUGACCAGACACCACCUCUGGCCACUGUGACUGUCCAUCAGGAUGAACUGUAUCCUCAACCAUGAGCAAGAAUACACUUGGCCUUCCUUAAAUUGAUUUCAUUUGUUUGUCCCAGCCACAUGGAAUCUAAGUAAUGUAGGUGUACAUAGACAAUACUCUGAUCUUGCCAAGGGAAACAACUUCUGCCGUGAUUUCUCUCAGCACCUUUCCUUGGACCUACUCACAAGUAGUUUUGGGGAUUCACAUAGGAGAUAGAUGCUAGUCAGGCUUUGUUGUUGUUGUUGGAAUGUGGGCUACAUUCUUUGGAAGCUGUGGAUGGGGAAACAGUUCUGGAUAAAUUAAUUUGUGCAAUGUAUAAUUCAUAAAAAGAAAUCCAUGGUAUUUUUGAACAAUGGAAAUGAGAGAAUCUGCCUUUUGGGCAUUGGUCCCAACUCCAUUUUGUUCAGCAAACAUUUAUCAACACCUACUAUGUGCCAGAAUCUUGCUGGGCAACAGAUGAGCCAGAUAUUGUCCCUACCCAGGAAGGGUGAGAAAUCAAUAGAGAGACCCAGUGAGCCAUCCACUCAGGAAUAGACCUUGAGCUUGAGAUGUGGGGGGUUGUAAGUAUGAGGAGAGCUACAUGUGAGAUACACAGACAAAGCAGCAGAACUGUGGCAUGCCAGAGGAUCUGUGAGUGAGCAGCUGUGAAGGAGGGUGUGACCCACCUAUAGCUUCAGUUGCAUGGAUUCCUUCUAUCUGCUCUUCACUGUCCAUAUGAACCCAUUAAAAGUCUGCUACCUUGCAGCCAUGCUAAACAUUCUCUAUUGACUCCCACUGAAGCAGGGCUACUGUUGUGUCACCAUUACUAAUCCUGCCUCUGCUAUCACUAUUCCAGAUACCCUUCUGAGUGUCGCUCUGAGCGUUCUUUACCCCUCUCACUGGUGAAUAAUAGCUCAUCUGAAACUAUUUGAUGAGUGGCUACAAUAUAGCACAUAUAGGAGAUUCAAGAAUAGGGAGAAACUAGCCAUAGUUUUGAGACACUUCAUCUACAUUUACACCAGGUGGAAAACACUAAACACCAUGACAUCCUAAUUGCUUAUAAUUCUGGCCUUCUGGAAUUUAGGUGAGGCUCGGCCUAGCAGAAUGACUGGGUUGGGUCGCUGCUAGUGGCUGAAGUUUGUAAUGCAUUUCAGGGUUUCGUUCGAAAGUCUGGACCUUGGCAAUUACCUUUACUACAGAAUCACCACUGGAAUAGCUUAGGCUUCAUCUCAACCAAAGGUCUCUUGUUAAUCAAAGUUCCCACAGGGAUAUCCUCACAGUGCAUGCACACACAUGGGGCUGGACUGUCAGGAGGAUCUCAAGGUGGCAAAGUGGGACAUGCAUAUCAUUCAGCUUAUGUCUUGGCCAUGGCCCUGAGCUACUCCUGCCCAAUCCAGUGGCCGUAGGUUAGGGAGGAAUCAUGUCCAGACACAGGGAUGUGACAGAGAUGGCUUUAGACCCUGCAACUUAGGCCUGGAGACUUAAGCCAGACAUGCCACUUUGUAUUGGCCUUCCAGCCCGAUCUUCCAGACUGGUUGCCUGGAUUCCAGCUGCUUACAUAGAUGAGGUGGGGUUCUCCUAACCUCUGUCUCUUACUUAGAUAAAUUUUGCAAGCUUAGCUCUCCCCUUCCUAUCAUAUGCAGGAUGGAUAUCUAUUAUCCCAGGUGACUCGGUUUUCUCUGUAGGUCAACAUUGCUCUCCUCAGAAAUUCCUAGUUGUAUUAUUAUUUGUUGUCAUUUAAGACUGUACAGUAUGGUACUCUAUGGAUACCACUCCCUCAUAUAGGAACUGUUCAAGACUUGGUAAAUGACACAACUGCUCUAAGUUACUUAUUGUUAUCUCUACAUUUAGAAUUAUAAAAAUGUUUGUCUCAAAAGGUCAUUAUGAAGCCAACCCAAACAAAUGACUGUGACGACAGCCUAGUGUUAGACUUAGGGAACUGGGCAGUAAGCCCAGGUCACCUUCCUUGUACUGACUAUGGCUGUUGUUUUUAAAUAGAAAAGAUGAAUAGGUGGAUUUAUUGAUGGAUGAGUAACAGGUGAAUAUUUGCUUCUAAUACUCUUGAGCGAAUUCAGGUACCACCAGUAUUUAUCCCUGCACCCGAAAAGAGCAAUAAGCUAAACCAGAAAUCAAUUGAUAGGGUAUGCUUUAUAAAGUAUCUAUAAAGCAGCCUAUAAAGAUUUCCUUUGGGUGCUCAACUUUGAGACCCAGAGAAGUCUUAUACCUUGCCCCCAAACAGUUUUUCAUUGCAACUGGGCUGCAUCCAUUACAUCUAUGUCUAAAUCCCCUAACAAACAGACAUCCUUGCGAUGACUCUGGUUGAUUCUAAUUGCAGAUUGGCCCCUUCUUAGAAGGUCAGAGGAGAUACAAUAUCACCCUCCUGUUCCCAGACUCAUGGUAUUUCAAUUCACAAGAUGCCCUAUGCAGAAAUCCCAAGCUUGUGUGAUUCAUAGAUGACCCCUUCUGCCCUCGAUGCUAUGUAAACCCCUAACAGAAGGAUAAUUCACUCUCAUUAUCCAGGAAACAUAUCUGAGGACAAGUACAAAGAGCUCCCACUCAGGUUCAAAGAUAAGUUGUUCAGCCAAAUAGCAGAAGAUGCUCUCACUCAUAAAGAAGAGCUCGUCUCUGGCAGCUGUAAAAGAGAGCAUUCACCUUUUGUUGGAUGCAAGGUCAAGUGUGUGUCCUAGGCCCAGUUACAGCAUGUUUUUAUCCAUGCAUCUUUUAUUCCAGAAAGAUCCUGAUGCCAGGCUGAGGCUCCAGCUUCCUAUUACCACAUCAGCCUGUAUCCCAUGGGACAUUUUUGUGGGUGUGUUAUUCUAUUUAUUUUUUUCUUUGCAGUUAGAUGUUCAUUAACAUUCAGGAAUCAGGAAGUGUAUAAAUAUGCUAUGGAAAUCCUGCUUAUUCUACCAAUAAUGCUCCAGAUAUUGUUGUGUGCAUAUGGGUUUAGGGACUGUCUAUUCAUUGUUCUUGACACUGAGAUUUGAGGAGGACUGUUGAGGAAUGCUCAAAAGUUUUGGACCCUCAGCAUUUGGUUUGCUGUAGUGUAAGCAGCGGGUGUUCUCACUAAGUACAUGUCCUGAGGGCUUGUCACUUUCUCCAUGUCUCUAUUCCUUCACCUGGCAAAUUAUUUUGUUGGUUGUCAUGAAGAUGAGACAGAAUAAUAUGAGUGAUGUGGGUGCUUAGGGAAUCUUCCAGGCCAUCUGUGGUGUAAGUGCCUACAAAGACAUUUUAAGGCAAAAGAAUCCCACUUUCCUAUUGAGCCAAGGUCCAAAAGGUAGUGUUACUGCCAGUACAGGAGAACUGGCCUAGAAACUGGGAGCUGCUCUUGAAUUUGGAAGAGCUUGCUGUGACAGGCACAUGAAAGUCUCCUCCAAGGACAUAAUAUAUGGGUAUAAAUGUCUUUCUCUGAAUACCUGUGAGCAUCCCAGAGCACCACUCCUCUCUCAGGAAUGACAGGUGUACAUCCUAUGAUACUAAAUGUGAUAAUGGAUAGAAACUUGAACAAUCUAAACUUACUCUGUGACCUUCCUCCCCAUAUUCACAGAAGACAAUGACCACAGAGGAAACCAAUACUCUCAUUAAUAUAUCAAGUUUGAAUCAUGUCCAGACACAGAGAUGUGACAGAGAUGGCUUUAGACCCUGCAGCUUAGGCCUGGAGACUUAAGCCAGACAUGCCACUUUGUAUUGGUCUUCCAGCCCCAUUUUCUGGCCUGGUUGCAUAGGUUACAGGGCAGAUUCCAGCUACUUACACAGGCAGCGGCAGGCAAAAGAAGAAUACAAUGAGGGGCCUAGAGGAGCAAGACUAAAGAAAUUAGAAGGGAUAAAAAAGGAAGGAAAAGCCAGGCGUUGGUGGCACA